UCAGAUUUGAAAAUUCGGACUGAACACCAAGAUCUCUUGAAGAAAAAAUCACUGUAACUAGGUUCAGUAAUUCAGAUACAAUGGAAAGUGGAGUUUUAUCAGAUAACUUAGAGACAUGCUUUCCAAUUACAGACACUAAAUAAAUAGAAGUAUCCGAUAUUGCUGAACGGUCCGAUGGUAACCCUUCAUAACGACGCUUUCUAUCAUUAGAAGUUGCAUACACCUCUAUCCAACGAGGAACAUGCAAGAAUGCUUGUUUUAAUACUUCGAUAGAAAUCAAGCAAACAGAUUCCUCUCUAUCGUUUAACUUACUAACCACAGAAGUCCCUAGUGCUUGAAGGACUAUAGGCAAAUACUCUAAACGUGACAAAAUUACAGACAAAACGACUUUCAAAGAUUCUCUUCUAACAAUCCAAGAUACAUCUUCUUCAUC